rnacentral:rRNA from 1 species
GCAGUCGACGACUCUUCGGAGUUAGUGGCGCACGGGUGCGUAACGCGUGCGAAUCUGCCCUUGGGUACGGAAUAACUCAGAGAAAUUUGUGCUAAUACCGUAUAAUGUCUUCGGACCAAAGAUUUAUCGCCCAAGGAUGAGCCCGCGUAAGAUUAGCUAGUUGGUGGGGUAAAAGCCUACCAAGGCGACGAUCUUUAGCUGGUUUGAGAGGAUGAUCAGCCACACUGGGACUGAGACACGGCCCAGACUCCUACGGGAGGCAGCAGUGGGGAAUAUUGGACAAUGGGCGAAAGCCUGAUCCAGCAAUGCCGCGUGAGUGAUGAAGGCCUUAGGGUUGUAAAGCUCUUUUACCCGGGAUGAUAAUGACAGUACCGGGAGAAUAAGCUCCGGCUAACUCCGUGCCAGCAGCCGCGGUAAUACGGAGGGAGCUAGCGUUGUUCGGAAUUACUGGGCGUAAAGCGCGCGUAGGCGGUCUUUUAAGUCAGAGGUGAAAGCCCGGGGCUCAACCCCGGAAUAGCCUUUGAAACUGGAAGACUUGAAUCUUGGAGAGGUCAGUGGAAUUCCGAGUGUAGAGGUGAAAUUCGUAGAUAUUCGGAAGAACACCAGUGGCG